UUGACCUCGGAUCAGGUAGGAUUACCCGCUGAACUUAAGCAUAUCAAUAAGCGGAGGAAAAGAAACCAACAGGGAUUGCCCCAGUAACGGCGAGUGAAGCGGCAACAGCUCAAAUUUGAAAUCUGGCCUUCGGGUCCGAGUUGUAAUUUGGAGAGGAUGCUUUUGGCGCGGCGCCGUCCGAGUUCCUUGGAACAGGACGCCAUAGAGGGUGAGAGCCCCGUACGGGCGGCCGCCUAGCCUUUGUAAAGCUCCUUCGACGAGUCGAGUAGUUUGGGAAUGCUGCUCAAAAUGGGAGGUAAAUUUCUUCUAAAGCUAAAUACCGGCCAGAGACCGAUAGCGCACAAGUAGAGUGAUCGAAAGAUGAAAAGCACUUUGAAAAGAGGGUUAAAAAGUACGUGAAAUUGUUGAAAGGGAAGCGCCUGUGACCAGACUUGCGACCCGUGGAUCAUCCGGUGUUCUUCACCGGUGCACUCCGCGGGCUGCAGGCCAGCAUCGGUUUUCCUAGGGGGAUAAAGGUCGCAGGAACGUAGCUCUUUCGGGAGUGUUAUAGCCUGUGGCGUCAUGCCUCUGGGGAGACCGAGGACCGCGCUUCGGCAAGGAUGCUGGCGUAAUGGUCACCGGCGACCCGUCUUGAAACACGGACC
rnacentral:rRNA from 3 species